UGAAACUUGUCCACUCCUUACGGGGGAGACAGUCAUGAGACGUGAGUAUAAGACCUGAGUGUAAAGACCUUAGGGUGAAGCAAUUGGAGGGCAAGCUUUGGUGCCAGCAGCCGCGGUAACUCCAACUCCAAGAGUGUCUAUGGUGGAUGCUGCAGUUAAAGGGUCCGUAGUCGUGAAUGCAAUUAAAUGUCGUUGUUCAAUAGCGAUGAGUUUGCUAAUGUUUGCGGAACGGAUAGGGAGUGUAGUAUAGACUGGCGAAGAAUGAAAUCUCAAGACCCAGUUUGGACUAACGGAGGCGAAGGCGACACUCUUAGACGUAUCUUAGGAUCAAGGACGAAGGCAGGAGUAUCGAAAGUGAUUAGACACCGCUGUAGUUCCUGCAGUAAACUAUGCCGACAGCCUGUGUGUGAGAAUACGUGGGCGGGAGAAAUCUUAGUGUUCGGGCUCUGGGGAUAGUACGCUCGCAAGGGUGAAACUUAAAGCGAAAUUGACGGAAGGACACUACCAGGAGUGGAUUGUGCUGCUUAAUUUAACUCAACGCGGGAAAACUUACCAGGGUCAAGUCAUUCGUUGAUCGAAUACGUGAGAAUGGCAGG
rnacentral:rRNA from 1 species